rnacentral:misc_RNA from 2 species
AACGCACAUUGCGCCCCCUGGUAUUCCGGGGGGCACACCUGUUCGAGCGCCAUUUCUACCCUGGAGCCCUGCUCUGUGAUGGGCCCCGUCCUCGCGGACGGGCCCGAAACCCGUGGGCGCCGUCGUCCGGUCCCGAGCGUAGCAAGAGAAAUCCCUCGCUCGUAGCGCCAGGCGGUGGCCGCCCCGACCCAUUUUUACAAGGUUGGCCUCGGAUCAGGUGGGGAUACCCGCUGAACUUAA